AGUGAACGCUGGCGGUAGACCUAACACAUGCAAGUCGAACGGCAGCACAGUAAGAGCUUGCUCUUACGGGUGGCGAGUGGCGGACGGGUGAGGAAUACAUCGGAAUCUACUUUUUCGUGGGGGAUAACGUAGGGAAACUUACGCUAAUACCGCAUACGACCUACGGGUGAAAGCAGGGGAUCUUCGGACCUUGCGCGAUUGAAUGAGCCGAUGUCGGAUUAGCUAGUUGGCGGGGUAAAGGCCCACCAAGGCGACGAUCCGUAGCUGGUCUGAGAGGAUGAUCAGCCACACUGGAACUGAGACACGGUCCAGACUCCUACGGGAGGCAGCAGUGGGGAAUAUUGGACAAUGGGCGCAGGCCUGAUCCAGCCAUACCGCGUGGGUGAAGAAGGCCUUCGGGCUGUAAAGCCCUUUUGUUGGGAAAGAAAAGCAGCAGGUUAAUACCCCGCUGUUCUGACGGUACCCAAAGAAUAAGCACCGGCUAACUUCGUG
rnacentral:rRNA from 1 species